UUCUAGAAACUUCUUUGAAAUUCCCCUUUUAGUGCAUCCAAAGUGUAUCUAUUUGAAUGUACACCACUGUCAGUGGGCCAUCUCUAGCUCCCACACACACUUGCGCACUCAGCGGGCGCUCUCUUGCCCAGUCUCCCGAGCUCCCACUUUGGUAACGGUAUCACGCGCCCAGCUCGGUACGUUCCAAUUGGAUUUCAACUCUCGCAGCGAAAAGUCGACGUCGCUCCGCAGAUCCGCAGCUCCAUCAGUACUCUCGUUCCCGCUUUCAGUCACUGUGUAAUCUACCUGUGAAAGUGAAAACGUGACAACCCGAUAAACGAACGAGGCAAGCAAAACAAAAAUCAGCAAGCAAGUGCAUAAAAAACGACGACGACGCAGACGAGGCACAAGAACAAGUGCAGCAAAUCAGAGGGCAAUCCAAAGGCCCGAAAGAGAACC